CUCACUGGUUCUUACUUCUACUCUGUAAACAUUUCUCCAUCAGUCUGCAUUAGCAAACUUCCCUCUGGGAUGACAAAUGUAUCUACUUGAUUUUCCAGAAAUUCAGACUCAUACCCCGUGUUCUCGAGAAGCAUCAUUCACACUCUUUAGCAGGUGACAGGAGCAAAUUGUAAGACCUGGAGGACCCAAAUCUCUCUAGACUGCUCAUGACAAAAAGCCCAUGAACAGGGAACAAAGUAGGACCCUGCUCUGGAACAAACAGGGGAUCUGCCCACAGGCAGAAGGGCAGUAGCGGCUUCCAGGGUUAUUGGUGUGUUUAAUAGUCAGGGACACAGCUUAGCUGCUGGUGUACCUGUCUAGUAUGAAGCUCUGACUUUGAUCCUAUACCACAUAAAUUGGGCCUAGUGAUGCACACUUGUAGUCCCAGCAUUUUGGAGGUAGAGUAGGAGAGUCAGAAGUUUAGGUUUCGGGGCUAAGGAUGGCUCAGUCAGUAACAUAUUUACAGGGUAAGCAUGAAGACCCGGGUUCAGAUCCUGUCACCUACAUAAACGCAGCCCCAGGGCUGGAGGGCAGAGACAGGAGGAGCUUGGGGACUUGCUGGCCAGCUCAUCCAGAUAGAGUAACUGAGUGAAGAACUAUACAGGAAGACACGUGAUGGUGGCAUCUAGCCUCUGCUUCUGCGUGCAUGGGUACAUGCAUGUGCACGUGCGCGUGCGCGCGCGCGCGCGCGCACACACACACACACACACACACACACACACACACACACACACACACACACUAUACAUAGCCAUGUCGUGAAACAUAGCUAGGGCUUUUACAAGCUACUAAGGAAGACUUUACAUCCUGUUGUCUUGAGUGUCAAGGCUCCCAGGUGAAAGUACUGUCCAGACUCUGGUGGGCCAGAUACCACCACUCCGCCCGGGCAGAGACAGCAUGUGAUGGAAGGAAGAUGGGAGGAAUGAGCUUCAGUCCUGAAGCCCUUGAGCUUCUGACUUUAAAUCAGCGUCUGCUGCUGGCCUGCAGCUCCCAGUCUGCAGAUGGCUGCACUGAUGUUCCUUUUCUGUAAAGACCUUCCUUCCUGUCUCUCUGCCCCUCAUGGCAUAAAGGUCAAAUGACUAUUCACAGUCUUCGGGGUCCUUGGACCUUAUAAGCAACCGCUCUGAUAAGUCAGCACAUAAAUAGAAGGCAUGGUGUUCUCAUUUUAACAGCAGUUUUCUUCCCCACCAGAUUGGCCUUUACAAACAUUUUUUUCAGGGACGAUGGCACAUGCCUUUAGCCCCCUCUAGUCCCAGUGCUCAGUAAGUAAAGGCAAGCAGACUUUAAGGUCAUAAUCAGUUACAGAGGAAGUGAGGCCAGCCGGGCUCCAUGAGACCCUGUCUGCAGAAAGAAGAAAAAAGUUGCUUCAAUUUUUAAUCAUCUUGGUAUUUUUUUUUUAAAGCAACGUCCCCUAGAACACAGAUGUCUCCUGUUCAGUGUAGAACUCGUAAAGAACAGCUCAUGAAGUGCUGAGGGCCAAGGAUGACUUCACUGUGUCACUUUCUGUAACCUCUACGCCAUUCAACACUACUCCUAAGCCAGAAGACCCAGAGAGCACUGUCCUCUCAACGUGAUCUCUAGAAACAAAGUCCCCUCUAUUGACACGGGGCCAGCAGCUCUGUUGUGAGCACUGUUGGGCCCUGCAGUCACACCGAGCUGCUGGCAGAUCUGUUCCCGCCACAGCAUAAGAAGGAGAAGCCCAUUCCUUCCCCUCCAUAUUUAUUUGCUCAAUGCCAGGUCCCACUUGGAGAGGAGCUGCUAAGAAUUAGGAUGACCCAAGCAAGCAGGAGAAAAUAAGCCUGUGUCACCUGAGAGCAAGGAUCCAGAAGCACCAGAUGCUUCCUAUGAGAGGAAUUUGGCAAAGCACAGAUUCAGGCAUACCCACCGACUGGGCCCAUUGGCUCUACCGUGUAAACAUUAACACAUCCCUCAAAGGCCCACUUUCCCCGUUUUUAUCACCUGUGAGUUCCCUCGGAAAGAUAAAUGCUGAGUCUGCCUACAGGAACGCUUACUUGAUUUUAUACAAUACACUUUGUAUAACUAAAGCAGACUUUUUGUAUUUUGUUGAAGAAUCUCAAGCUCCUUUAAGAUGGCCCUGGACCUAGGGAGAUGGCUCACUUAGUACAUUGCUUGCCACAGGAGCACGAAGACCUGAGUUCUAAUCCCCAGGUUCCAUGUAAAACCAGGGCAUGAUGGCAUUAGGGAGUCAAAAACAGAAGGAUCCCUGGGACUCAAUGACCAGCCAGAUUAGCCAGUGGCUCAGUGAGGGACCGAGUUUCAAGAUCUAAGAAGGAGAGCAGUUGAUGAGGACACCCAAUAGCACUCUAGCUUCAACGCACAUGUGCACACAUACAUGCACUGCACCCAGAAGCACACAGAUUGCUCCGUGUUUUAUUUAAGUGAGACAGGGUUUCACUUUGUAGCCCAGCUUGGUCUCCCAACUCAGAAACCUCCUGGGCUCCCCAAGUGCUGGGAUCGCACUCUCACUCUGAGACUUUAAAGCAGCACACGGAAGGUACAAACAACACCCCAGUACAAGGCUGCCCAGAGAAGACUUCCUACAGCAGGCAUUCUGCACGUCAAACACUAUGUCGUAUUAGCUGUUCCACUGGCAACUGACAGCAAAUACCAAGUAGUAAUGGUUAAAAUUUAAUCUUGCCCAUCAGCUGGAGAAAACAGUAUGGUUGUUGAGCACUCUUUCUGUGUCGGCUUCCUUUUCUGCUUGUGUUAUUCUGGGAGUGCCUUUCAUUUGAUUGCCAAUUCUCCAUUCCUGCAAAGGAAUUUAGAACGCUCAUGCUGACCUCCUAAACACACACUCUCUUAAGAGGUUUGAGUCUCAAAGUUUUGUAUUUUUUUAAGAUCAUAGAGUAGUGAAAAUUCAGAACUGGAAAGAGCAUCCAAGACCAUCUGCUCCAACUGCAUGUGUGUGCUAUAAAGGGGGACUGAAAUGAGAGACACUAACCGGCAAGGCCAUAGGAAGCACUGGCGGAGUGGCUUCGCUGAACACUUAGCUGCUUCUUCACUGUGUCCUCAGAAAACAGUUUAGGAAUCUUUAUCCACAUCUGUACUGUUAGAGGCACCAACUAGGCUUCCUCUUUCCAAGGUAACGGGGUCUGGGGAUGGGGCUCAGUGGUCUAUGUGCUUGUUUUACAGGCGUGAAGAGCUGAAUUCAAUUCCCAGGACACACAUAAGGAGGUCUGAGCAUGGUGGUAUAGGCCUGAUAUCCCAGAGAAUGUCUUCUGUCACACACACACACACACACACACACACACACACACACACACACAACUGAAUGUACCCAUAAAACAAAACACAACAAUCAAAAAAGUAAUUGGGUCAAAGUCAGAAGAGUCUUGGGACGUGGAAAUACUAAAUAUAGGUAUGCCAUAUUUUAAAACGACAUGCCCUAGAUUUAUGAAACAAAGCAAAGUGCAUUCUUCUCUAUGGCAAAGUAUCAUUCACCUGAAGGGACCCAGGUAAGGUCACCUAGUCACAGCCUCAGAGCAGGCAUGUCCAGCUGUCCACAUGUAUGCCAGCAGGGCUGUGAAUAUAGCUACACAUAUUUGGAGAUGACAGUGCUGUGUUAGAAGCUUGGACACACCUGAUGUGAAACAUGACAAUUGAAAGGUUUUUAUAUUAGUAUUAGUAUAUAUUCCUUGUCACCAAGAAUUUACGAGCAUGUAGCCACUGCUCAAGGGAGCUCUCAACUUCCCGAGGAGUUGAGGGCAACAGUGUCCUAGCCUGGUGCCAAACACAGUAAAGAGCAAGCAAUUUCUCAAUGGAUAAGGCAUUUGGAAUUUAUUAAUGAAUAUGCAAAUUCGUGUGUCUUAAUUUUUAUUCUUUUAAUGCAGAUGGGGUGAGCAACUGGGCAUUUAAAAAUCUAGCAGGGGCUAGGGGUCCUUACAGACUGAGUUAAGGAAUUUGAGGAAAUGCAUUUAACUCUUGAUAUCUACUGGACAAGGGAUGGUGGUUGUGGUGGUGGCAGUGGAGGAGGAGGCAGCGGUAGUGUUCUCUCUCUCUCUCUCUCUCUCUCUCUCUCUCUCUCUCUCUCUCUCGUGUGUGUGUGUGUGUGUGUGUGUGUGUGUGUGAAGUAUGAAGGUCAGAAAGCAACUUAAGUUACCAUCCUCAGGAAUGCCACCCACCUUCUUUGAGACAUUGUGCAUUCCAGAGAAGCUAUAUCUGGGUGCCAUUCCUCAGGUGUCAUCUGCCUUGGUUUUUGAGACGGGGUCUCUCACAGGCAUGGAAUUUGCCAGGUAUGCUAAGGUGACUGGUCAGUGAGUCUCAGGUAUCUGUCUGCCUGUUUCUCCUCAGAGUCAGCAUUGCAAGCACUCACUGUGAACCCAGACUUUGUGUGGGGUCUAGGGAAUGCUCAUGGGUCCCCAUGCUUUCAAGGCAAAUACUGUCUACUGAGCCCUCUCCCCAUCCCUGGUCAAGGAAGUUUUAUGGGUAUAAGCAGUCACUUCAGUGUCUAUUGAGAGGUAGCUUUGGCCCACAGAACCAGGAAUUGGGGCAAAAAGAGUGACACUUUACUGUGGUAGAGAAGAGCCCAUAGAGGAAAGGGUGUUCACUGCCUGGACCAGCCAGCUCCUGCCUCCUCUGUGGCCAGUAAAAAUCCCCAUACUUGGUACAGUCCUCCGUGAUGCUAACAGAAAGAGUGUGGAUGGCCCAAAUGGCAGAUCCGCCACUUCUGGGAAAGCCGGAGCAAAUCGGUAAUAGGAGAGUGCCAACCUUAUCUCGCUACACAAAGGGCAUCGUGUAGAAUAUCACAGUAAAUUCAUUACGAGGUAAUUAUAGGCUAAGCCACUUGACCUCAGAGUCAGCUAACUUCCUUCUCUGUGAGGCGGUGAUAAUGCUUAACCUCUCGCAGAGGUUUCUGGUUUCAGCCUAGAAGGCCCUCAGACGCUGCGCCACAGCCUAGACCUUGUUGCCAAGCACAGCUUCCCUCUGAGACGUGCAGAGCCCCGACUCCUAGGAUCAUGGGAGAUUUUGUCUGACCCUCAGCCGCAAUCAUUCUGCCCUUCCUGGGUCGUAGAGCCUGGAAGGCAGGCAGGACAGACAGCUAGAUUGGCCUCAAGAGUGUGGGGCACCAUGGGUUUUGCCUCGGGCCUUCAGGAUCAAACUAAAUAGGCCCUGUGUUUGCUGGAUAUGAGCUCACCAUGACCUGAGGCCUGUUUGAUUUUCCGUUCUGCACAUUCCCUUGCUGGCAAGGAAAGAAAGGGGAGAAAGCAGUCUCCUGGAGGGAGUUCCAUUUCUGAGUUUCAUCUUCCAGCUUUCUCUACAUUGUUAAAAUCUCUACCGUGAAGGUAGGCUGUGACAUGUGCUGACAGCCUUCCCAAAUGAUGUCAUGGAGAAGUAGCAUCCUGACUUCUUCCUCUUUUAAAAAUAGGAUUUAAAAAAUAUUUCAAAGGUAAUAACUGUUAAUUUUCUUAUAAUAUCAAUAUUUUAAAGAGGCCAACGGAUAGCUUAGUCAGUAUAGUAAGUGCAUUCCAAGCAUGAGGCCAGAGUUUAAUCCCCAGAACUCUUGUUUGAGAACUCUAGGUGCAUUCUCUUGCAGCUGUUGGGGAGGUAGAACGGGGCAGGGCCCCCAGCCAGUCAAUCUUCACCUUUUAGGCCUGUGAAAAGUGUCUGAAAAAAUAUGGCGUGUACACCUGAGGAAGGACAACCUGCUCUGGUCUCCCACACACAUGUGUGUGAGCUCAUAUGAACUCACACAUGUAUCUGCAUUCAUGAACAUGUACACACAUACUUGAACAUACAUGAACAUGUACACACAUACAUGAUAUACUUUUUAAAAAGCUUCUAACAUCACCUAUUACCAAACUCCUAAUGUUUGAUGUGAUCAUUUCUGGGGUUUCGUUGUUCACAUUCUUUAAACAAACAAGACUGCCUUUUCCUCUAAAACUAUUGUCUCAUGGCCCAUUCUGCCACUUUAAUGCUACAUUUGUAGUUGUAAAAAAAAGUACAAGAAAGAGCUGUACAUUUAAAUACUAUAUUUUAAAUGUAUUAUAAAUAUGUAAUCGAUGUAAUUUUGAAACUACUUAACAACAUAAGUCCAUCAAUAUGUUAUCUUUUCUCAAGUUCACUUUCCUUUUAAAAUAAAAAGGAGAAUGAUUGGGCAUUCUUUGCAUGGUUCCAGCAUGGUAGUUUAAUAAUGGAGCUUUUGAGAUACAUAUGCCGUUAUUCCGAAGGAGAAAGGAAAGGUUUACUGAGGGCAUUUGCUCUAUACCUGAUCUGCUGGAGAGCCUAUGCACUGCCAUACCUAAACAGAAGUAACCCUCAUCCUGACUACAGGACAAGCCACGCGCCAUGCCUCGUGUAAGGAGUUAGCAGGAACCAACCGCAUACUGGUGUCCUGGGCUACAGGGAACCACACACUGGUGUCAUGGCCUACAGAGAACAGUACACUCAUGCCAAGGGCUAGAGGUCAUUAAAGGAAACUUUAAAGUUCACCUUGUUUCUCAUUUGUUUCUUUCAGUGAAAUUAAGAUUUUAUUCUGAAAAGAGAAAUGCAGGGGUGGGGCCGUUUCUAUUCAGAAGCCUGCCAUCUUGGUUUCAUUGUGCCCCAUUCUCUGCAGUCUGUAAGUGUGUGCUUAGCAUCUUGUUUGUGCUCAGUCCUGUUUCCUCUUCCUCCACAGUCUGAUGCAGCACACUCAUUGUUAGUCGGUUUCCUGUACCCUGCCUCAGAGAGGUUAACAAGUUUCCUAUAGUUUCCGCUUGGUCUGCAGAAGGCUUGGGGCAGCUGGAUUGCUGCUUUGCCCUGGUCAUUGUGUACACACAGCAGGAAAGAAAGACACAGUCCCUCCACCUGGGAUGGUUCCCCUGGUGGAAAAUGAUACACUGUCUUCACAGAGCCCUAGACAUCUUCUUACAGACUUAAAACUACUUACUAUCCUUAAUACAAUGUACGCACUGUGUAGCUAGUUGUUCUACAGUAUUGUUUAAGGGGCAGUGAAGAGAAAAGACAUCUGUUUAUGCCCAGGAUAUAUUGUAAACAUUACUUUUCAUCUCCCUUUGACUCUCUGGGUGUGUGAUUCCAGAUAUGGAAGGUGCUGUCACUGGCAAGGAACCUUUCUGUCCCUUCUCUAUGCAAAGUACCCACUGUGCCCCUUCAGAUGCACUCUCUCAUCUUCUGUCAUGGUGCAGUUUUUUGAGACAUGAUCUCAUGGAGCUCAGUCUGGCCUCUAACUCACUAUAUAGAAGAUGGUGACCUUGAACUCCAAAUCCUCCUGCAUCUAGCUUCUGAGUGCUGACUUACAGGUGGGUGUUGCCACACCUAGCUGACUGCAGUGAUAGGGAGAGACACGAGGCUUUACAUGAGUUAGUCAAGCACUUAGCUACAUCUCCAGCUCCCUCUCCCCCUCUCUGUCACCUCUGUCACACACACACACACACACACACACACACACACACACACGCACAGAGAGAGAGAGAGAGAGAGAGAGAGAGAGAGAGAGAGAGAGAGAGAGAGAGAGAUUCAUUCAGUAACCCAACCUGGCCUAGAGCUCACACUAUGUACCCCAGAUUAGCACUGAGCUUGUAGCAAUCCCCCUGCUUUAGCCUUUCCAGCGCUGGAAUUACAGACAUGGGCUACUAUGCAGUUUCUCCUGCCAUCUUCACCGGUACAGGUUCUCUGAAAGGUUGGAAGUUCUGUUGAUCUAGAAGCAGAUGCUUUGGUGAUUUCUCCAGGAUCAUGCAAAGCACAGACAGGGCUAAGCCGACCCAGGUCCUCAGAUUCAGGAUGCGUAGGAAUUGUCACACUAAGUAUAUCGUGUAUGUGGAGCUUUGCCAGACAUAUGGAGUUCUGAAGAUGGUCUUAAAAAUAAUGUGAUUUGGGGGCUGGGGAUUUAGCUCAGUGGUAGAGCGCUUACCUAGGAAGCGCAAGGCCCUGGGUUCGGUCCCCAGCUCCGAAAAAAAGAACCAAAAAAAAAAAAAAUGUGAUUCAUUACAAUUUGGGGACAGAAAUAUGUUUCAACUGUAUUCUACACUUUCUAGUCCCACUAGUCUGGGGCUUGACUUUCAAGUUGGGGUGGUUCUGGUAAUGAGUUACAAAAGCAAUCCUGAGAUUCUUACAGUGUGUGAAAUCAGACUAAACAGGCUCAGGGUGGGGCUGGAGACACUGUCAGUGGUGAAGACUGCAGUCUGCUCUUGCAGACGGACCCGAGUUCAGUUCCUAACACCCACACCUCCUGUAACUUCAGCUCUGAUGUAUGGCAGGCCCUGGGGAAGCAGUGUUCCGACUCCCUUAUUUCAAACAGCCUGACAGACAUUCAUAGCAUGCAAACUAUAACCAAAGUCUCAUAGGCCAGCAUCUGCUCUCUGUGAUGGAGAUCUGUGCUUGACUUGGCUGUGUUACUUCAGGAAUGAGACGAUUCUAUUGGACUCUUCUGACCUUCACAGGCACUAUCCUCACAAGCAUGCUUACCGGCACACACACACACACACACACACACACACACACACACACACUGCACACACA